rnacentral:rRNA from 1 species
UGCCUAAUACAUGCAAGUCGAGCGAGCGGAACCAACAGAUUUACUUCGGUAAUGACGUUGGGAAAGCGAGCGGCGGAUGGGUGAGUAACACGUGGGGAACCUGCCUCUAAGUCUGGGAUACCAUUUGGAAACAGGUGCUAAUACCGGAUAAUAAAGCAGAUCGCAUGAUCAGCUUUUGAAAGGCGGCGUAAGCUGUCGCUAAGGGAUGGCCCCGCGGUGCAUUAGCUAGUUGGUAAGGUAACGGCUUACCAAGGCGACGAUGCAUAGCCGAGUUGAGAGACUGAUCGGCCACAUUGGGACUGAGACACGGCCCAAACUCCUACGGGAGGCAGCAGUAGGGAAUCUUCCACAAUGGACGCAAGUCUGAUGGAGCAACGCCGCGUGAGUGAAGAAGGUUUUCGGAUCGUAAAGCUCUGUUGUUGGUGAAGAAGGAUAGAGGUAGUAACUGGCCUUUAUUUGACGGUAAUCAACCAGAAAGUCACGGCUAACUACGUGCCAGCAGCCGCGGUAAUACGUAGGUGGCAAGCGUUGUCCGGAUUUAUUGGGCGUAAAGCGAGCGCAGGCGGAAAAAUAAGUCUAAUGUGAAAGCCCU